rnacentral:tRNA from 1 species
UGAUAAUUAGUUUAAUAAAAACAAAUGAUUUCGACUCAUUAAAUUGUGACAAAGCUCAUAAUUAUCAA